CCCUUAGAUGUCCUGGGCCGCACGCGCGUUACACUGAUGCAUUCAACGAGCUUAUAACCUUGGCCGAGAGGCCUGGGCAAUCUUGUUAACGUGCAUAGUGAUAGGGAUAGAUUAUUGAAAUUAUUAAUCUUGAACGAGGAAUUCCUAGUAAACGCAGAUCAUCAAUCUGCAUUGAUUACGUCCCUGCCCUUUGUACACACCGCCCGUCGCACCUACCGAUUGGAUGGUCCGGUGAAGCCUCGGGAUUGUGGUUCUUGCCGCUUUAUUGUGGCGUGACCGCGAGAACUUGUCUAAACCUUAUCAUCUAGAGGAAGGUGAAGUCGUAACA
rnacentral:rRNA from 1 species